UACGUAGGGUGCAAGCGUUAAUCGGAAUUACUGGGCGUAAAGCGUGCGCAGGCGGUUAUGUAAGACAGAUGUGAAAUGCCCGGGCUUAACCUGGGAACUGCAUUUGUGACUGCAUGGCUAGAGUUUGGCAGAGGGGGGUAGAAUUCCACGGUGUAGCAGUGAAAUGCGUAGAUAUGUGGAGGAACACCGAUGGCGAAGGCAGCCCCCUGGGUCAAGAUUGACGCUCAUGCACGAAAGCGUGGGGAGCAAACGAAGG
rnacentral:rRNA from 1 species